UCUCCGUAGGUGAACCUGCGGAGGGAUCAUUACUGAAUUGCCCCUUUGGCCUUCCCCCCUUCAAACCUGUGGCCCUAAAACUGUGCUUCGGCGUCGCUCUCGCGGCGUCGCUUUUAUGCAUCAAGCUGGUUUUUUCUGAUCGACACAAAAAAAUUUAAAACUUUCAACAAAUGAUCUCUUGUCUCUCUCAUCGAUUCAGAACGCCGCAGAACGUAACACCACACGUCUCAUCUCCAUUCACCAUUCCUCAACUCUGAUCCCGUCUUUGUCUUGACACGA
rnacentral:misc_RNA from 1 species